UACAGAGGGUGCGAGCGUUAAUCGGAAUUACUGGGCGUAAAGCGCACGUAGGUGGUUUGAAAAGUUGGGUGUGAAAUCCCCGGGCUUAACCUGGGAACUGCAUUCAAAACUGUCAGACUAGAGUAGGGUAGAGGGAAGUGGAAUUUCCGGUGUAGCAGUGAAAUGCGUAGAUAUCGGAAGGAACACCAGUGGCGAAGGCGGCUUCCUGGACUCAUACUGACACUGAGGUGCGAAAGCGUGGGGGAGCAAACAGG
rnacentral:rRNA from 1 species